rnacentral:lncRNA from 1 species
CGGGCACAGCCCCCAGCACAGCCUUUCCCUUGGUGCACAGUGCCUCGUGUGGAUUCUCUGGAAGACUGAGGAAAAGCUACUUGCAAUAGCACGGAAGGAAGUAGGGAAAGCACUGAAAGAAGCCUUUGAUAUUGGGAAACCCCCUUGUGCCGAUGCUGCAGUCAUUGAGAUACUAACAGAGAAGACAGAGACUGCCAGGCGAGUCAGUGAGAGCCUGAGUGAGAAGGUGGAAGCUGAGUGCCUGGAGGAGUGCCUGAGGUUCCUGGAGAGCUAUGAAGAUGAAGUAAGAAGCUUUCUCCAGCUUGAUGGCUGCCAGCAGAUCUGCAGCAGCCUACGAAUCCUGGAGAAUUGCUGCCUUCUCAGAACUGUCUGGCAUAAGGUAACAUACAUUUGCAAUGUCAGCACUGACCAGAAUGCUAAGG